rnacentral:rRNA from 1 species
CGGCUGUGCCGCCAGCCAUGGCCACCGCGCCUCCCCCACCGUGGCUGCCCCCACCCCGCCCCCUCACGCCCCACCAGCGACCAGCGCUGCAAACCAACCCCCACCGGUGCUGCCGAUGGCAGCGAGAAGUAAUGGAGAGCCGCGGCGGCCGACGUUGAGGCGUUGCAACCAUGGCGACAAGUGAUGGAGAUCCAUCAUUUUCUUUUCUUGGAAGCAGCCCCAAUUUUUGCUGCAGACGCCCUUGAUUUUUGCUGAAACCAGUGUAAGAUUUUGCUACAACCACGUUCUUUUUCUAUGGAACCAACUCGAAGUUUUGUUGCCAUGUCAUUUGCUUUUUGGUACAACCGGUUUUCAAUUUUGCUACCACCAUCUGCAGUUCUUGCUGGAACCAAUUAAUUAUUUUGCUACCACUAUUUUCGUUUCUUUUUUAUAGAACCAACCCAAAUUCUUGCAACCAUGUCAUUUGUUUUUGAUACAACCAAUGUACAUUUUUGCUACAACCAACCUCGGUUUUUGUUGGAACCAAUCAAUUAUUUUGCUACUAUGUUUUUUGGGGGGAACCAGUGCAUCAAUUUCUUUGCUACCACCGUUUGAGUUUUUGCUACAACCAAUGUUCUCAAUUGCUACAUCCAACACGCAUCACAGUGUCAUGUAAUUUGUUGGAACCAGCAAACAUUCUUGAUUGAAGCGGCAUGAUUUUUUGUUGGAACCAGUGUUUCUUUUUGCUGGAACUAGCUAAUUUUUUUGCUACAAAUCUACUACUGGAGUUUUUGUGCUGUUGAGAGUUUUGCUGGAACCAUCAUUAUUUUUUGCUGGAACCGGCAAAUCUUUUUGCUUCAACCCAGCAUUGGAGAUUUUUAUUGCUUUUUUUGCUAGACAUGACGCUGCAAGUUGACAAUGGCGGCGAGCCGGAGACGGGGACGCCAGGGAUGCUCCAACCAUGAUGACAGCGCACUAGAACCCUCCUGUGUUUGAGUUGCAACCAUGACGAGCAGAGGCAGCCAAGGCAAGUGUCGGACACGACCGUCAGGCAAGCGGCAGGCGAGCGCGGGUGACGGGCGUGAUGGCGCGGUGGAAAGCAAGCACGGGAAGACGAGGACUAUCGCGGGCGGCCGGCGAGCACACAGAUCUGGCAUGUGCUCUCGCUGUCCUUUUUUUCAUGUUUCCUGUGCGUGUUUUUUUUCUGCGUGUUUGACUUUAAAACAAAGCAAUCAGACGGUGGGGAACCGAUGUAUCGGGCGGCUGGGGCUUGACCGGCCGAACAGUUCGGUCGGCGCGCCGGCGCCUACAAGCGCCCUUUUAAUUUGUGCGCGGCGCAUUCGUCGUGGCAACGAUCCAUCCAACGGCUUUGGAGACUGAGUUUGUCUGUGUCCGGAUCUCUGUGUCCACACAUACAAGGAUGCUCUUGGAGGAAUUUUAUAGGAAAAAAAUGAGAAAAAUUCACUGUAGGUCACAAAACUUGAGCCGGUUGACACUUUAGUACCACUAUUUCAAAAAUACCCGAACUACAGUUCAUGUACUUGCGCAAAGGGUUCACUUUGGUCCGUAUAUACGAAUUUAGCUACGUAUUCGCUGACUUGGCCGAGUCAGCUGUUGCUGGCUAGGCUUUGACCGCCACCUGUGUAGCACCUAGUCGGGGGGGGUAAUACUAGUAGUUCGGUUUUUUUUGCAAAUGCGCCAACACCUGAACAUUAAACGCUCGCGCACCUGGUGGGACCGCACCCGCUCGCACCCUCUCUGCUCGUCGUCGCUGCCGAGGUAGUGCCUUUGCUCGUCGGCGUCGACGACGGCUCCAUGAGCACGUCGUCGGACGCUGAGCUGCCGCCGUCCGCGCCGUUCGGGAGGGGCCUGCGGACGUGCCUCUUGCUCCUUCGCGUCGUCAUGAUGAUGCCUCGCCGCCCAUGUACGGUACGUCGCCGUCGCCGGCAGCUCCGUUGCUCGAUCUGUCCAAUUUAGCUCCCGUAAAGAGUUCUUGGUCGCAUCAAUUGCGCGUACGAGCUAGGGUUUGGGCGUUCGUUCAACUCUCUGACGGAUUGGGUGUGGGGUGGUAGGGUUUUAGCAGUUUCUUGAAGAACUUUGUGGCAGACCAUAAAUAGGGCUGCGUCAUGGGGGGUUUGCAGUAGAUGGCCAUGUUUGCAGAGAUCUGGAGUGGUUAGGGUUCUUUCUCCCCCCAAUUUGUCAUGGGUCCAGGGGUCUAGGGUUUAAGCAGUAAAGUUUGCUUUUAGUGUCAGAG